AUUGAACGCUGGCGGCAUGCCUUACACAUGCAAGUCGAACGGCAGCAUGGAAGAGCUUGCUCUUCUGAUGGCGAGUGGCGAACGGGUGAGUAAAGCAUCGGAACGUACCGUGUAGUGGGGGAUAACGUAGCGAAAGUUACGCUAAUACCGCAUACGCACUGAGGUGGAAAGCAGGGGAUCGCAAGACCUUGCGCUAUACGAGCGGCCGAUGUCAGAUUAGCUAGUUGGUAGGGUAAAGGCCUACCAAGGCGACGAUCUGUAGCGGGUCUGAGAGGAUGAUCCGCCACACUAGGAAUGCGAGACGGCCCAGACUCCUCCGGGAGGCAGCAGUGGGGAAUUUUGGACAAUGGGGGAAACCCUGAUCCAGCCAUGCCGCGUGAGUGAAGAAGGCCUUCGGGUUGUAAAGCUCUUUCGGCUGGGAAGAAAUCGCACAGGCUAAUACUCUGUGUGGAUGACGGUACCAGCACAAGAAGCACCGGCUAACUACGUGCCAGCCGCCGCCGUAA
rnacentral:rRNA from 1 species